rnacentral:rRNA from 1 species
UACGGGGGGGGCAAGCGUUGUUCGGAAUUACUGGGCGUAAAAGGCUCGUAGGCGGCCAACUAAGUCAGACGUGAAAUCCCUCGGCUUAACCGGGGAACUGCGUCUGAUACUGGAUGGCUUGAGAUUGGGAGAGGGAUGCGGAAUUCCAGGUGUAGCGGUGAAAUGCGUAGAUAUCUGGAGGAACACCGGUGGCGAAGGCGGCAUCCUGGACCAACACUGACGCUGAGGAGCGAAAGCCAGGGGAGCAAACGGG